UUGGAGGGCAAGUCUGGUGCCAGCAGCCGCGGUAAUUCCAGCUCCAAUAGCGUAUAUUAAAGUUGUUGCAGUUAAAAAGCUCGUAGUUGAAUUUCGGGGUUAGUAGGUUGGUCAUGCCCCUGGUAUGUACUGGUCUCACUGAUUCCUCCUUCCUUAUGAACCGUAAUGCCAUUAAUUUGGUGUUGCGGGGAAUUUGGACUGUUACUUUGAAAAAAUUAGAGUGUUUAAAGCAAGCUAACGCUUGAAUACAUUAGCAUGGAAUAAUGAAAUUGGACGUUCG
rnacentral:rRNA from 1 species